UACGGGAGGCAGCAGUGAGGAAUAUUGGUCAAUGGGCGAGAGCCUGAACCAGCCAAGUCGCGUGAAGGAAGAAGGAUCUAUGGUUCGUAAACUUCUUUUGCAGGGGAAUAAAGUGCAGGACGUGUCCUGUUUUGUAUGUACCCUAAGAAUAAGGAUCGGCUAACUCCGUGCCAGCAGCCGCGGUAAUACGGAGGAUCCGAGCGUUAUCCGGAUUUAUUGGGUUUAAAGGGUGCGUAGGUGGUUUAAUAAGUCAGCGGUGAAAGAUUGCAGCUUAACUGUAAAAAUGCCGUUGAAACUGUUGAACUUGAGUGUAAAUGAGGUAGGCGGAAUGCGUGGUGUAGCGGUGAAAUGCUUAGAUAUCACGCAGAACACCGAUUGCGAAGGCAGCUUACCAGGCUACAACUGACACUGAAGCACGAAAGCGUGGGGAUCAAACAGGAUUAGAUACCCUGGUAGUCCACGCCGUAAACGAUGAUUACUAGCUGUUGCGAUACACAGUAAGCGGCACAGCGAAAGCGUUAAGUAAUCCACCUGGGGAGUACGCCGGCAACGGUGAAACUCAAAGGAAUUGACGG
rnacentral:rRNA from 1 species